UCUGGGCAGGCAGAGAUGGCCUGUUUGACCCCAGGGCACCAGGGUUUCUCAAUGGACCGAUUGCCAGAGGUUGGGGUGUCAAGAAUUUGGGGUAUCAAGGUUAAGUACAAAACAUGGAUCUUUGUCUGACAAGACAGGCUGGCCGCUGACUGUUAAAUACUUCCCCACAAAAGGGACAAGCCCGGAGCCAGGUUACCGGCCCACACCGCAAGACAGGCUUUCUUUUAGGAAAUGGACAAAGCUCUAUGACCAGAACAAGCACUUUGGGGAAUUUAAAUUUGCUUUCCCUGACACGACUCCACUUUCAUCACUACCCCUGAACUUAAGGGGCAUCCAAACCUCAGUCUCAGCAGGUGCAGCUGUGUCACUGGGAUGGACACAGGAAGCAAUGUGGGGUCUUUGCUGCCAGUGAGCUCCCGGUCUAGGAGAAGAGAGAGGAAGCAUCUUUAUCUGUGUUAUCCCAGGUACGCGUGCCAAUUAUAUGUCUGUAUCCUUAUCUGUGUCUACAUAUACACCUACAUCUACAUCUACAGUCAUAUCAAUAUCUAUACCCAUACCCAUAUCUCUAUAUUUCUACAUCUAUACCCAUAUCACAGCUGUGUCUAUAUCUGUUAAGUCAUUCUUGCAUUGCUAUAAAGAAAUACCUGAGACUGGGUCAUUUACAAAGAAAAGA
rnacentral:lncRNA from 10 species